rnacentral:rRNA from 1 species
AACGAACGCUGGCGGCAUGCCUAAUACAUGCAAGGCGAACGAUCACUUCGGUGGUAGUGGCGCACGGGUGCGUAACGCGUGGGAAUCUGCCCUUGGGUUCGGAAUAACGUUUGGAAACGAACGCUAAUACCGGAUGAUGACGAAAGUCCAAAGAUUUAUCGCCCAGGGAUGAGCCCGCGUAGGAUUAGCUAGUUGGUGAGGUAAAGGCUCACCAAGGCGACGAUCCUUAGCUGGUCUGAGAGGAUGAUCAGCCACACUGGGACUGAGACACGGCCUAGACUUCUACGGGUGGGAGGAGUACGGAAUAUUGGACUAUGGGGGCAACCGUGAGCCAUCAAUGUCGCGAAGGUGAUGAGGGCCUUAGGGGUGUAAAGCUCUUUUUACCGCGAUGAUAAUGACAGUACCGGGAGAAUAAGCCCCGGCUAACUCCGUGCCAGCCGCCGCAGUAAUAC